GUGUGUGUGGAACGAGAGAGAAACGAGAGGACAUAGAAAGAAGUUGAGGGCGACUACGUGCAGGCGAGACGUGAAAAAGUUUAGCUUCCCAAACAGAAGCAUUGAGCUAUGGAAUAGACUGCAGGAAGAGGUGGUUUGUGCUAGAAACAUUCAUGAUUUUAAGGAAAAGUUGGAUAAGAGAGGAUAUGGAGACGGGACAGCGCGAGUGUAGCUCUUUUCCCAUAUGUCACAACUAGGCAACUAGGCAAACUAAGUAAAUACACACACACACACACACACACACAUACACACACACACACGAGAGAGAGAGAGAUCUGGGAGUGACAAUACAAGAUAAUCAACAGUGAGUCAUGUAAACAGGAUACUUGAUGAUACGUAUAGAAUGGUAAGAAAUAUAGGAAUAGCAUUCCAUUACAUGGGUAAGGAUAUGAUGAAAAAGAUGAUAACCACUAUGAUUAGACGAAAAUUGGAAUAUGCAGAAACUGUGUGGUCUCCCCAUAAGAAGAUACACGUAAAAAAACUAGAAAGAAUACAAAGGAUGGCAACGAAAAUGGUUCCAGAACUGGAGGGAUUGUCAUAUGAAGAAAGGUUAAAGGAAAUAGACCUGCCAACAUUGGAACAAAGAAGAGAAAGGGGAGACCUAAUACAAAUUUAUAAGUUCUGGAAUGGAAAGGAAGAAGUAGAUAAUGAGGAGUUACUACUAAGAGAAGUAAGAAACACCAACAACACACGAGGACACAGUAAAAAAUUGAGAAAAGAAAGAUGCUCGAGACAUAAAAAAAUGUAGCUUCCCACAAAGAAACAUAGAGGUUUGGAACAGGCUAAGUGAGGAUGUAGUAUUGAUGAAGAGUGUGCACAACUUUAAGGAAAAAGUGAACAAAUACAGAUAUGGAGACGGGACCACACAAGCGUAAGCCCAGGCCCUGUAAAACUACAACUAGGUAAAUAUGCACACACACAAGCACACACACGCACACACAUAUACACACACCACUCUGAUAGUUUAGUGAAUAAGGAAAUCUUUGUCCUGACAGACUCUGGCCUGGCAGAUUGAGGUUCGAGCUACAUUCAGGCAGGGAUUUUUCUUGCUGACAAGAAGUGGUUACUGGCCCCCCUAAAACGAGGGAUUGGAUGUGUGUUGUGUGAAGGUCCCGCAGUGCCCAGAGACUGCCUAUAUUGAGCUUGCUCUAAUCGUGAGGGUACUUGCUGGUGAUGAUGAGUCCAGCUCAUGAUCAGGCCAUGGCCUUCACAAAGCAUCUCUUGACUACCAACAUCGUGGAAAAAAUGGAUGAAUUCAAGCAAGACUUACCUAAAGAAAUAUGUGGUUAAAGAUGAGGUUGAAUCAAGGGCUGAAAAGGUGCAGGAGGAGCUGGGAUCAGUUGCUGACACGCUUCGUGCCGGCCAAGCAGAUCUCAGUUGGGCUGAGGUGGCGAAGAGAGACAGGAAAAUGAAGAAGAAUCUCCUAGUUGUGAAAGCUUCUACUCGGGAAAAGAAGGCAAAAGAUAUGAAUGAUGAAGUCUCCCAGGCAUUGAAUGGUAUUCAAAUAACUGAUUCAGGAUUCACAAAUGGAGGCAAUAUUGUCAUGAACUUUGACAAGGGCUGAGGCUGCUAAAAAACUGAAGUCUGUUGAGCAAAUUCGUACCAAAGAUGAAACCAAGGAUCAUGAUAUGCAAUGUGUAUAAAGAGACCAAGGAAAAAAUAAAGACCAUCCUAGACUGCAAUGAGUUCCUACACACAAUUCAGGGUGUUGAGAAUAAAAUUGAGCCUGCAGCUGGCGGUACGAUGUACUACAUUUUGAGUCGCGAGCCAUCUGUGAGAGCUGAUUUAUAAGAAUCAGGACAAGUUGAAAUUAGAAUGGGGAAUGUACACAGUGAGAGACAGAUACCAUGCAAUUAUGUGUUAUCAUUGUCAGAGAUAUGGCCAUCUUGAGGCCAACUGCACUACCAAGAACAAUGAAGAAGCCCCAAAAUGUUAAGUGUGCUGGCAAUCAUAAAUCAAAGGAUUCCACCAUGGCUGAGAAGAAAUGCAUAAAUUGUUUGAGGUACAAGAAGCCUGAAAUCAGUCACUCAGCGGGUGACCAGUGUUGUGUAGUUCUUCAGACUGAAAUUGAGAGAAUUUGUAACAUAACUGACCAUAACUAUCAAUUAGUGUUUGGGACUCAAAGAUAAAUUGUGUCUGUUUAAUGUUCAGUAAGUUGUAAAUAAUCAUUGGAUAUCUAAUUGUGAUACUACAGUACCCUCUCGAGUUUCGCGCAAUCCGAGUUUCGUGAUCCUCGAGUUUAGCACUUAGUACUGUACUAACUUAAAUUCUUACCAUCCCGACUUUCGCACAUUACCGCCCCGAGUUUCGCGGUGCUUUGACAUCUACGGGUCGCGUCUACCUAUACCGUCGGCGUCAUGCAUGCUGCCUUAAAAGGCGGUGUCCAACCAUUGGGGCUAUGGGCAACCGCGGUUGCCCGUAUGCCCAACCGGGUGCGAGUUAAUUAUUGGUUGUCCGUAUGAAUGGAAAACGGUUGUGAGUACAAGCGUGGGUACGUGGGUACCAAGGAGACUAUAGAACAGGAGAGGGGGCCUCUAUGGGAAACCGUGGGCGGGUGUUGGUGUAUGUCGGUUGCAACAGAUGGCGCAGGAGCAGCGUUGUUUACAUCCAGGCGCCUCCCCCCCUCCAGACCCACCCCAAGCCCCCAGUACCCAUCAGCAGUGUUGCUACAUGGGAUCAAGCAGCAAAUGUUGCUACUUUUUGUCUUCAAUCUGGAUAUUCCCCAUUUUAAAUAAAAAAAUAAAGGUAGAUAAAUAUUAAAAUGAACAGUAGGAACUAUAUAUAUAUUUACUAGGUAGAUAUAGCCUGACUGCAUGUCAUGUGUAAUGCUAUUAUUGUUAUAUUAUUAUACCGCAAUUAUAUUACUUUCUCUGCAUUUGUGGGAGGCUACCAGUGGUUAGAUGUGAUUUAUGUGUUUAACCUUUCUGUAUACAUAUCGGAAUGAACCAAGGUUGUAGCCCUACUGCCGUUCUUUAAAAACUAUGUGAUCAUGUUUUUCUUCCAAACUCAUUGUUUUAGCACGCACGCUGACUUCCAUCAGUAAUGAUUUACAUUGAAUCAUUGGUUUGUAGGGGAAAAGAGUGGGUAGAUAUAAUUAUCACUGUCUAACGUAUAUUGGUUAUUAUAGCGCUAUUCGCAGCAAUAUCUUUCUCUGCUCCGAUUGCAACGCUGCCUCGUUCAAAAAUCAUAACACCGCCGCGGCCGCCACGUUUACCAGCCGGAGCCUCAAAUCAUGUCCCUUUGUGGUGAUAUAGAGGACACAGCCUGGUGUGAAGCUACAUUUAUUACGGAAGGAUGCCAGCCGGGGAUCCGAACACGUCCGAUAUCAUCCAAGAAAAUGUGGCAGCUGAAGGGGAGAGUCCAAGAAAGAGGCCAAGGGUGAAGACAAUUAGCCACCCCCUGAAGUACAUGGCAGCAUUCAACCCUCUUGCUGAGCUGCAGGAAUGUGCUCCCCAUUGCAGUGCACCAGCUCCAUGUACUGAUUUUGGGUGUGAACUUGAUGGGGUUGGAGGAAACUCGACUCGGCCAUCAAGCUCACCACAAUAUAACAUGAAAAGUGAAAAUUGCUGCACACAGCAGUCUGCCGUCUGCACCGGGAGGCAAGGCAGCUCAAAGCCCAGGCUGUUACAACUCCUGGGAAGUUUUUGCCCAGAGCCAGCAGUUUUUUAGAUCUAAUAAGGAUGGAUUUUUUUCUGAGGUCAGGUUCAACAUGCUGCAAGAUGCCAAGAUCUAAGCGUAGUAGGAGAUAUGGGUUACAAGAGAGGAGGUUUGCUCUGGCCUUAUACUAUCAAAGUCCAAAUGCUAAUAGAUUUCUAAGCACAGUAUUUCACUUGCCUUCAAUUUCAACACUUCACUCAUGACUCAGGGGUAUUUCAGUACAUGUUGGCUGGAGCAAACAGACUCUGACAGCCCUGCAGCAAAGAGCACAGGCUUUGUCAAAAGAAGAGAUACUUCGUGGGAUUUGCCAUUAUUUAGUAUUACUCUUGUUACGCCAAGAAAUUUUUUCCAUAUACUUUGCCAAAUAUUGCAAGUAAUGCACCAUUGUUGGGCUUGCCUGUUAUAAAUCAGAUCUGUUCAAUUAACAAGCUUUGGGUGUCUGCCACUUUCCAGUUGCAAUGCAAGGAAUCCCCUGCCAGAUAUCGCAUGUAAUGCACCAUUGUUGGUUUUGCCUGUUAUAAAUCAGAUCUUGUUCAGCUCACAAGCUUUGAAUAUCUGCCAUUGUUUAUUUCAGGUGUAAUGCUUGGAAGCAUUUGUUCUCUUCCCUACCCAACAGUAUUCAAUGCUUUAUUAUGGAUUUUGCCUGUUAUAUUUAAUCUUGUUCAGGUAACAAGCUUUUGGUGUCUGCCUUACCUAAUAUGUGCUGCAGUGACACUUGGCUUGGUUUCAUAAUGUGAAAUACAGCAUGUUAUUUCAUCACACUAAGUGUCUAUCAUCACGUGUCUGGCAUCAUUAAUGUGGCUUCCAGGAGUAAUCUUUUUUGUAUUACAGCUUGCAAUUUUUUUCUGCUUUAUAAUUUGAUAUACAUAAUCACAUUAUGAUUUUUUUUUUUUUUUUUUUGACAAAAUGUAAUGGCAGUUGAUAUUCUUGACUAAUGCCUCAUAAACCUUGUGAAAAGUAAUGCUUUUUUGAAGGGGGGGUGGGGGGGGGGGACUGGUUUGUUUGGUUGGCCAGUUCAAGGAGUUUCAUAUCAAAUGAUUUUAUUACAUCCAACUUUAAUGUGUGCUAAAAACAUAUAUUUUAUUACAUCCAACUUUAAUGUGUGGUUCCUGCAAUAAAUGCUACAUGUUUACUGAUGUAGCCUAUGAAAUACAUAUCACUCUCUGCCCUGUAAUUUGGUGUGUCACAUACUGCAGCAUAACUUUCCUGCUAUUUUCUUACACUAUGAGUUGCCUUAUUUUGUCUCAUUUGCUUUUAUCAUAUGUGCCUCCGCUGCAGAGUUGUGCCUACUGAGCUUAAUAUCUUCAUGACCCAGACACCAAGGUCAGAGCUUGUGAGACCAUACCGUGUCCUACAUCCCAUUUUCACCUCCAGGCUCGCCUGUCUCCCAGGACCACCAAGUUAUUGCAUUCCAUUUAAGACAACUCAUGUGUUACCUUCUUGAUGUCCUCCAUCAUGUAUUUCAGCAUGUUUUAUGAUGCUUUGCUCUUAUAUUGAUGUGCCUUGCAACAUUUUUAUACAGUUUUCAUUGUAUAUAACGCACCAUUGUUGGUUUUGCCUGUUAUAAAUCGGGUCAUGUUCAUUUAACAAGCUUUGAGUGUCUCCCAUUGUUUAUCUCAGUUGUAAUGCUUAGAAGCUUUUGUUCUUUGCCCUGUCAAACAGUAUGCAAUGCUUGCCAUUAUCUAGCACUUGUACAGUUAGUAUGAUAUUUUUACUCAGCUAAGAGCAUUUUGCAAAAGGUAAAGGUACGCUGUAGCAGCGCGUGGCCUCGGUGCUCAUCUCUGUAACAUUGGCCCUUGAGCCUGUGGUGUUAGGGAACCCAUUGCCCUGGGACACAGGACCAGUGUGACAUCCGGGUUACCACAGUUGCAAAGGCAUUUUAGUAAUCUAGCAUGCAUAGAAUGUUGUAUGCAUUGCUUGUAUUUAACACUUAAAGCGCGGGCUAGAUUUUGCCGCGCCUGGCCUGCCACGCGGGCAUAUUCACUCAAAAACACACCUCACUUCAACCUCAAGUAUCUUCUCUCUUACUGAGCUAACGUUGCUGAAUGAGGUAUCAUUGUAAAGUCCUUUUCCUUAGCUGUCCUUUGACGUUAAUUUGAACACCAUAUAAGCAUUGGUAGAACGAGUACUGAGUUAUGAAGUAGGAACUAUGAAAACAUAUUAUUAUAGACAGAUACCCACCUCUAUUCUUAUUUUCUAUUAUUUAGCAAUAAAAAGCAUCACUUUUUUACAGCUUCUGUGUACCAUACCCAUAUAAAGCUCAAAAACGGCACGUUUACUGUGCUUGACGACAAACUAAUCAAAUCUGGCGGCGCGUUCAUUAAAAAAAUGCCAUGUCCACUAUUGUGGACACCCGCGCUACGAACCCAUGCUCCGGCUGUCCACUAUUGUGGACACCCGCGCUUUAAGGGUUUUAACCCUUAAAGCGCGGGUGUCCACACUGGAUAUGUUUGCUAC